UACAGAGGGUGCGAGCGUUAAUCGGAAUUACUGGGCGUAAAGCGUGCGCAGGCGGUCUGCUAAGAGAGAUGUGAAAUCCCCGGGCUUAACCUGGGAACUGCGUUUCUAACUGGCAGGCUUGAGUGUGGCAGAGGGGGGUGGAAUUCCACGUGUAGCAGUGAAAUGCGUAGAGAUGUGGAGGAACACCGAUGGCGAAGGCAGCCCCCUGGGCUAACACUGACGCUCAUGCACGAAAGCGUGGGGAGCAAACAGG
rnacentral:rRNA from 1 species